rnacentral:misc_RNA from 1 species
GAUGAAGAACGUAGCGAAAUGCGAUACGUAGUGUGAAUUGCAGAAUUCAGUGAAUCAUCGAAUCUUUGAACGCACAUUGCACCUCUCGGUAUUCCGGGAGGUAUGCCUGUUCGAGCGUCAUUUGUACCCUCAAGCCCCCGGGCUUGGUGUUGGGGAUCGGCGAGCCUCCGCGCCCGCCGUCCCCUAAAUCUAGUGGCGGUCUCGCUGUAGCUUCCUCUGCGUAGUAGCACACCUCGCACUGGGAAACAGCGCGGCCACGCCGUUAAACCCCCAACUUCUGAACGUUUGACCUCGGAUCAGGUAGGAAUACCCGCUGAACUUAAGCAUAUCAAUAAGCGGAGGA